UGCAGGCGGCGAGUCCCACACCGGGCAAGCCCCGAGCCAGCUUCCCCAGCGACCCCUCGUGACAACUGGUCAUGGUCUCUCACACGCGUUACCCACCUGGCCCCCAGGGUAACCCCUGCCCAGCACGUGUAAACCUGAAAUAAAUGUAACCAAAGCAAUACUCAGCCUGCCCUCAGAGCCAGCUGUUCCCUUACUGCUAAGCACAGAGUUGCUAUUGGGUGGCGUUUUAACCAGCAAUGGGGAGAUUAGCUAGAUAUGCUUUUCCCAGGAGACAGGAGCUAGGCUGGGGACUGGAGAAGGGACAAGGAGAUUGCGUGCAAUGAUCUAAGUUUACCCCUAAUUUGCUAUUUUAAUUGUUAAUUAUUUUUAUCACAAGAGUUCCCGACCAACUGUGGCAUCUAAACAUACUCUACAGAGCUUAAAUCAGUGGUUCUUAACCAGGGGUGCACGCACCCCCUGGGGGUGUGAGAUGCCCUUUCUGGGAGUGUGAGACAUGCCGGAUUUUUUUAGAAGGUAGAUCAUCAAAAACACAAAUUAAGCACAGGCAGGUAAAUAUAACUAUUUUGUUUCAUCAAACCUAUGUAUUUAUUAACAUUAUACAUUUUUUAAUGAUUACUGUAAUAUACAAACAAAAAAUAUAUCUAGGUUUAAAGAACUAACCUACUUCAACAAUUUUUGAUAAGGGGUGCAAGAAUGUAUUUUGAGAACUAAAGGGGUGCAGACUGCAGUAAAGGUUAAGAACCACUGGCUUAGACAAAUAGCAGAUAUUUCUUCUGUGCCAUGCUCCCAUGCCCUCAAUAUCAAUUGAACAAAGCACCCUGGAAAGACCAGAAAUGGGGAAUACCCAAUCAAUCCCAAACAAAACUGUGGUUAGUGAAGUAGGCAAAGACUUAUCUCUUCCCAUUUGCUUUAAGGGCCCAACUACACUCUUAUAUAUGGUUUUUACAUUUAUCCAUGUAACCAUUAAUUUUCAAAGAUUUUAGCAAACAUCCAAAAAUUUCACAAAAUCAGUGUUUCUGAUUAAUUUCACUGUGCAGAAAUGGGAGACAGAAACAAAGUCCAGACAACUCAAAUUUGAAUAAUUAGCCUUCAGAUAAUCAUGAUUUAUUUGUAGGUGUUACUGCAGCACCUACCGCUGUGACAUCUGGCAUAAAUAACUGUAAAACCUACUCCUUUGACAGGGUUAAAACAUAGUUCAUUUUUGCAACUUUUGUUGUCCCUGCAGAGUUAACUCAUGCUCCUGAUCAGCUGUUGCCCAUAAUCUCACCCUCAAGUCCCCCUCCCCAUAUCCAUUCAAAACCCUCUGACCUGCAUUUAGUGAUGCUUUAAACCCAGUUUAGCUGGGUGUUAGAGCUCAGGUGCCACUUUUACUUGGGCUGGUAACCUCCCAGUUUUAUAGUGCAGAACUAGGCUAAAUCACCAAGUGCUGAUAGACCUCGAAUGCCUUUCCAGAAUACUAUACUUCAUGCCCCCCCCCAUUGCCUAGAAGGACAGACAAGUUUUUCCACAAUUUACUGGGAAGAGCAGCUCAGCUUACUGCAGUACCAAGAACCAUGGGAUAUGUCCCCCAAACUGCUAAUGACCCAUGAGUGAGUGCAGCACCAGUGAGGACACGUUAGCUCAGGCUCCUCAAAACCAGGUGAAUUCCUCCCUUCUCUGUCAGUGAAUGAAAGAGUUUGGUGCAAUGACUGUUGUAAGAGCCCACAGGAACAAACCAACACCAUAAAAGGUUCUUAAUGGAGCAGUUUCUGAGACCUGUUGUGUAUGAAGAGAAUCCAGAGUAUCUAGAAGAGGCUCUGAAGAACAGCGCCCAUGAUGCAAACAUCUCACUCUACGUCCUCUGUUCCAGUGCAACCUGUGCUGAUGAUGCAUCAGUCACUGUAGAUAAGCAUGAGUUAGCACAUGAAAUGCUAACAGAGUACAGCUAGCAUCUGAGAAUGUAGUAAAAUUUUUGUUUUCUCAAACAAAAGUGGAUGUUUUCAAUAUCUUACUUUUAUAUGGAUUGAGCUUGUAACAUUUAUUCAUGUGUCAAAUGCCAUUGAAGUCAGUGGGACUACUUACAUGAGCAAGGAUAGCAGGAUUGGGCUCAGGUCUUUUAGUGUAUUAAGCAAGAAUGUUUUUGGAGAAAACUAUAAAUAAUCACUUUAAAA